rnacentral:lncRNA from 1 species
UCAUUGCGUGUCCAUUUGCAAUCGUUCAUAUGCAAAAAGAUUUGAUAAUUAUUGCAGACGGAACAUUACAUAUCACAUCAAGCCUGGACCGACACCUGACAGAGUACCCUACACUAUGGACGAUGAUAAUGAUUUCGUGCAAGAAGGCCAUUUUAUUUACACUGACUACAAGAGCUGCACCGUCAUGGAGUUUCUCUUCGAGGGUAAGCAAGAGUGUUUAUUGUGGACUACGAAGGACAGUCUGCACAAUGUGCCGGAACACUGUAUGGACGAGUACAAUGACAUCUGUGGCGAUGCUGUGAAGAUCUACGACGAAGAAAGCUGUGCCGCAUUUGUUCAGUAGAAACAUCACUUCUUAUGGAACUGUCAUCAACUCUGACACAUUGUCAUCGAAAUCCA